CUGGAGUGGACUGUGCCUGAGAGGGCAAGGACCGGGCCCUUGGGACACCUGAGUGGAGAGGCCAGGGGGAGCAGAGAAGAGCCCAGAAGGAGGUGAACCGCCCAGAAUGGGGAGGCCAGUAGCAUAAAGGCGUGACGUGCAUUCAGUAGAAACUGUACUUUGAAUUUUGAACUUUUCAAGACUAGCAACACGUGGGACGAUCCUCUUCCAUGAUGCUGGGCGGCAGCCGUAGCUCCCAGGGACCCAUGUGAUCAUCAAGGUCAACAACCGAUGUGCUUACAACCACUGUGUACCUAUACAACCAUUCUGUUUUUCACUUUUAGUACAGCAUUUAAAAAAUUGCAUGAAAUCGUGGACACUAAGACGACACUUAGUUUGACACUAAAAUAGUGUCAAACACAAAACUUUGUGUUUGAUGAUUUUGCGCACAGAGUAUCCUGAGCACUUUUAAGUGCUCUGGGGCACUUUGACCAGAUCAUCACAGAAACCUAAAAUACGAAGAGGCAAAGAGCUACUUCUUGAAAGCAUUACCCACUUCGCUGUACAGAAAGUCACACAUAACCCACUUUAGAGAAGACUGUACAUCGCCUCGAAAUAACUCCAGAAGAUGAAAGACCCAACAGUCAAAGGAAUGUUGAAAGAGAAAGCCAAAGCUGAUGAGCAUCACAAUUCUGGACUUCCCUCACAUUCUCAAUGAGCAGAUGGCAAAAGUACCAUUAGCAACACAGGCAAGUCUGUGACCUAAAGGAUCUUCAGGGCAAGUCUAGAUCUAAGUGUAACCCCGAAGCACACCAAGUCUUCCUUGAGUCACCUUGUCAGUGGACCCUGGCUGUGGUCAGCAGAAUCAUGGCCCCCCAGAGAUGUCUACAUCCCAAUCCCCAAAACCCAUGACCUUACAUGGUAAAAGGCACUUCGGAGAUGUGAUCAAGUUAAGGGCCUUGAGAUGGGGAGAUUAUCCUGGAUUAUCUGGAUGGACAAUGUAAUCAUGAGAGAGAAGCGGACAGGUCAGGAUCAGAGAUACGAGGACAGAGCUAAAGACCAGACUGAUGUGGGGCCAUAAGCCAAAGAACGCGGGCAGCUUUUAGGAGCCAGAAAAGGCAAAAAAAAAAAAAAAAAAAAAAAAAAAUUCUCCCCUAGAUCGCCCAGAAGGAAGCAGCCCUGCUGACCUGUCUUGGACUUGCGAUCUGUAGAACUGUAAGGUCAUAAACUUCAGUUGCCACCAGCCGCUACCUUUAUGGUAAUUUGUUACAGUGACAACAGGAAGAUAAUACACUGGUUUGUUCACAAAGCGGCCAAUCCUGGCGGCCUGGGCUCCUGACGGCUGCCCGCAGACCCCUCCAGCAUCUGCUUCCCAUAGCCUCAGCAGGAGCGGCCAGCUUCUGGUGCCAGCCCCGCGGGAGCACAGAGCACGCCUGGGCCACUGACAGCACGGGGACGGGCGCAGGUAUCCCUCCUAAGGUGAGCUCACCAGCUGCCAGAGGUCGCAGGCAGCCAGCAGGGCACCUAGAUUCCAGGGCCUGAAUCACUACAGAACCGCCCGCUCCCACCUCUCCAUUUAGUGUGUCUCCAAGCUAAUUUGUAAACAAGGUUCUAGGAAUCAAUACUGUUAUUCUUUGUAAAAACAAAAUUUUGGUCACGGUGCCGUGUGAGAACAGCUGCCAGAACUCACCCAGCCUGGAGGCUUGGCUCGAGACAGUCUCUGAUCUAAAACGUGAGCAACAUAGAAAAGACAAACUUUACUUUGAAACUGGGGGACUCCAAAGAGAUACACCUUUUUCCACUAGAGUGGCUGAACCUGGGCCAAGGGGGUGCCCAGAGGGCCCACGGACAGGCGGCAAGUACGAACCCAGCCCCAUCGGGUGGGCACUUUGAGGAGCCACCGUGGAGUUACAGACUCAUUCCCGCCGGCAGAUGGGUUGUCGUCUGACCUUUCACCUUCCUGUUUCAGAUUGAAGGUUAGUGUCAACCCUGCAUCAAACAAGUCUACCGAUACUAUUUUCCAACAGAAUUUGUUUACUUUAUGUCUACGUCUCACAUUUUGGCGACUCUUGUAAGAUUUCGAACUUUGUCAUUAUGUGUGUGAUGAGGAUCUAUGCUCAGUGAUCUUUGAUGUUAUAUAGUAAUUGUUUGGGGGCACCACAAACCACACCCAUAUAAGACGGAGAACGUAAUGGAUAAAUGUUGUAUGGUUCCUGCCUACUUCAUUCCAUCUCUCCCCCUCUCCUCCGGCCUUCCUAUUCCCCAAGACACAACACCAAUGAAUCAACGUGCAAGUGAAAGAAAGAGUUGCACAUCUCUCACUUUAAAUCAAAAGCUAGAAAUGAUUAGGCUUAGUGAGGAGGGCAUGUUGAAAGUCAAGAGGCCUCUUGUGGCAAACAGCCAAGUUGUGAAAGCAAAGGAAAAAUUUUUGAAGAAAAUUAGAAGUGCUGCUCCAGUGAACACAUGAAUGGUAAGAAUGUGAAAUAGCCCAAUUGCUGAUAUGGAGAAAGUUUUAGUGGUCUGGAGAGAGGAUCAAACCAGCCACAGCAGUCCCUUAAACCAAAGCCUCACCCAGACCAAGUCCCUAACUCUCGUCAAUUCUGUGAAGGCUGAGAGAGGGGAAGAAGCUGCAGGAGGAAAGUCUGAAGCUAGCGGAGGUUGGUUCAUGAAGUUUACGGCAAGACGCCAUCUCCAUGACCUCAAGUGCAGCGUGGAAGCUGCAGCGAACUAUCCGGAAGAUCCAACUAAGGUCAUUUAUGAAGUUGGCUGCACCAAAUGACGUAUUUUUAUCGUAGACAAAAUAAGCUUCUACUGGAAGAAGAUGCCAUCUAGGACCUUCACUGCUAGACAGGAGAAGCCAAUGGAGCUUUCAAAGCUUCAUAGACAGGCUGGUGCUCUCCUUGGGGGCUAACACAGCUGGUGGCUUGAAGUUGAAGCCAAUACUCACUUGCCAUUCCAGAAUCAUGCUAAGUCCACUCUGUGCUCUAUAAACGGAACUUCAAAGCUUGGAUGAUGGCACAUCUGUUGAAAAUACAGUUAACUGAAUAUUUAAAGCCCACUAUUGAGACUUAAUGCUCCAAAAAAAUGAUUCCUUUCAAAAUAUUCCUGCUUAUUGACAAUGUACCUGGCCACCCAAGAGCUCCAACAGAGAGGUACAAUAAGACUAUUAUUGUCUCCACACCUGCUAACAACAUCCAUUCUGAAGCCUAUACAUCAAGGAGUCAUUUCAAUUUUCAAGUCUUAGUUUUUAGAAAUACCUUUUGUAAGGCUAGAGCUGCCAUAGACAAUUAUUUCUCUGAUGCAUCUGGGUGAAGUCAAUGGAAAACCUUCUCUUUUUAUUUAUUCAUGAGAGACACACAGAGAGAGGCAGAGACACAGGCAGAGGGAGAAGCAGGCUCCAUGCAGGGAGCCUGAUGUGAGACUCAAUCCCAGGACCCUGGGAUUAUGCCCUGAGCCAAAGGCAGAUGCUCAACCGCUGAGCCACUCAGGAGUCCCAGUGGAAAACCUGGACCAGAUUCACAACAUUCAUGAUUCACAGAAGGUCAAAAUAUGAACAUGCACAGGAGUUUGGAAGAAGUUGAUUCCCACCCCCAUGGAUGACGUUGAGGGCUUCAGGAUACCAGUGGAGGACGGAACUGCAGAUGUGGAAACAGCAAGAGAACUAGAGUUAGAAGUGCAGCCUGAAGAUGGGACUGAACUGCUGCCGUCUGACGAUAAAAGCGAAAAGAAUGUGGAGUUGCUUCUUACAGAGGAGCCAAGGAAGUGGAUUCCGGACGUGGCACCUACUCUCAGGGAAGAUGCUGUGAAGACUGCUGAAAUGACAACAAAGGGUUAGAAUAUGACAUGACUUGCUUGAUCAAGCAGCAGCAGGGUUUGAGAGGAUAGACUCCAAUUCUAUCAAACAGCAUCACACGCUACAGAGAAAUUGCUCAUGAAAGCAAGAAUCAAUCAAUGCAGCAAGUUUCAUUAUCUUAAGGUACAGCUGCAGCCACCCCAACCUUCAGCAACCACCACCCUGACCCAGCAACUGCCAUCAGGAAGGAGGCAAGACCCUACACCAGCAAAAAGAUUACUCACUAAAAGCCCAGAUGAUGGUUAGCAG